UUUAUUUGGAAGGUGUCCCAUGUAAUUUCAUUAGUUUAAAACCUAGGAUAAACUUACACAAGCAAAUAUUAAAAUACCAAGAACAUCAUUGAAGAUUACUAGAGUUUGACGCUCCUCCAGUUUUCUGACUGUAAUUACAAGAACCAGAAAUAAGAAAAGAGAAUGAACUUUCUGAAUCAUCAAAUGGAGGUCAAGGAUACUCAUGAAAUCCACCAAAAUUACAAGUAUCGAAGUUCAA
rnacentral:misc_RNA from 1 species